rnacentral:rRNA from 1 species
UGAGGAAUAUUGGGCAAUGCCCGCAAGGGUGACCCAGCAACGCCGCGUGGAGGAUGAAUGUCGUAAGAUUGUAAACUCCUGUUAGAGGGGAAGAAUAGUACCGGUUGGACCGGUAUAUGACUGUACCCUCAGAGAAAGCCCCGGCUAACUACGUGCCAGCAGCCGCGGUAAUACGUAGGGGGCAAGCGUUGUCCGGAUUUACUGGGUGUAAAGGGCGCGCAGGCGGGAUAAAAAGUCAGUGGUGAAAUCCUACAGCUUAACUGUAGAACUUCCUUUGAUACUUUUAUUCUUGAGUUCGGGAGAGAGAGACGGAAUUCCAGGUGUAGUGGUGAAAUACGUAGAUAUCUGGAAGAACACCAGUUGCGAAGGCGGUCUCUUGGUCCGACACUGACGCUGAGGCGCGAAAGCGUGGGGAGCAAACA